UCCCUGGUGGUCCAGUGGCUAAGACUCCAUGCUCCAGAUGCUGAGGGCCAGGGUUCAAUUCCUGGUCAGGGAA
rfam:TPA: Bos taurus chromosome 8, whole genome shotgun sequence.